GACGUAGGGCGCGAGCGUUGUCCGGAUUUAUUGGGCGUAAAGAGCUCGUAGGCGGCUUGUUGCGUCGGCUGUGAAAACCCAUGGCUCAACCGUGGGCUUGCAGCCGAUACGGGCAGGCUAGAGUUCGGUAGGGGAGACUGGAAUUCCUGGUGUAGCGGUGAAAUGCGCAGAUAUCAGGAGGAACACCGGUGGCGAAGGCGGGUCUCUGGGCAGUAACUGACGCUGAGGAGCGAAAGCGUGGGGAGCGAACAGG
rnacentral:rRNA from 1 species